rnacentral:rRNA from 1 species
CCUACGGGAGGCUGCAGUCGAGAAUCAUUCACAAUGGGGGAAACCCUGAUGGUGCGACGCCGCGUGGGGGAAUGAAGGUCUUCGGAUUGUAAACCCCUGUCAUGUGGGAGCAAAUUAAAAAGAUAGUACCACAAGAGGAAGAGACGGCUAACUCUGUGCCAGCAGCCGCGGUAAUACAGAGGGCUCAAGCGUUGUUCGGAAUCACUGGGCGUAAAGCGUGCGUAGGCUGUUUCGUAAGUCGUGUGUGAAAGGCGCGGGCCCAACCCGCGGACGGCACAUGAUACUGCGAGACUAGAGUAAUGGAGGGGGAACCGGAAUGCUCGGUGUAGCAGUGAAAUGCGUAGAUAUCGAGAGGAACACUCGUGGCGAAGGCGGGUUCCUGGACAUUAACUGACGCUGAGGCACGAAGGCCAGGGGAGCGAAAGGGAUUAGAUACCCGUGUAGUC